rnacentral:rRNA from 1 species
AUUGAACGCUGGCGGCAGGCCUAACACAUGCAAGUCGAGCGAGCGGCGGACGGGUGAGUAAUGUAUGGGGACUGCCCGAUAGAGGGGGAUAACUACUGGAAACGGUGGCUAAUACCGCAUACUAUCGGAUAACCCAUAUGGGAUUACCUAGUAGGUGGGGUAAAGGCUCACCUAGGAGACGAUCUCUAGCUGGUCGGAGAGGAUGAUCAGCCACACUGGGACUGAGACACGGCCCAGACCACUCCGGAGGCAGCAGUGGGGAAUAUUGCACUAUGGGAUCAAGCCUGAUGCAGCCAUGCCGCGUGUAUGAAGAAGGCCUUAGGGUUGGAAAGUAAUUUCAGCGGGGAGGCUGUACCCGAAGAAGAAGCACCGGCUAACUCCGUGCCAGCAGCCGCGGUAAUUC